UACGGCGGAUCCAAGCGUUAUCCGGAUUUAUUGGGUUUAAAGGGAGCGUAGGCGGCCAAUUAAGUCAGGGGUGCAAGACGGUGGCUCGACCAUCGCAGUGCCUUUGAUACUGAUUGGCUUGAAUGUAGUUGAGGUAGGCGGAAUGUGACAAGUAGCGGUGAAAUGCAUAGAUAUGUCACAGAACACCGAUUGCGAAGGCAGCUUACUAAGCUAUAAUUGACGCUGAGGCGCGAAAGCGUGGGGAUCAAACAGG
rnacentral:rRNA from 1 species